rnacentral:rRNA from 1 species
GACGAACGCUGGCGGCGUGCUUAACACAUGCAAGUCGAACGGAAAGGCCCUGCUUUUGUGGGGUGCUCGAGUGGCGAACGGGUGAGUAACACGUGAGUAACCUGCCCUUGUCUGUGGGAUAAAUUUAGGAAACUGGGGCUAAUACAGGAUAGGAGCUCCUGAUGCAUGGUGGGGGUUGGAAAGUUUCGGCGGUUGGGGCUGGACUCGCGGUGGAUCAGCUUGUUGGUGGAGUAGUGGCUUACGAAGGUUUUGACGGGUAGCCGGCCUGAGAGGGUGACCGGCCACAUUGGGACUGAGAGAGGACCCAGACUCGUACGGGAGGCAGCAGUGGGGAAUAUUGCACAAUGGGCGGAAGCCUGAGGCAACAACGCCGCGUGCGGGAUGACGUCCUUCGGGUUGUAAACCGCUUUCUCCUGUGACGAAGCGUUAGUGACGGUAAUGGGUAAAAAAGCACCGGCUAACUACGUG